CUGCCAUCCAUGGAUUCUGUCAGUGUUUUGAUCUGUUCACCAUCAACAUUGCGUGCAGCAGCAACCACAGCCUCCCAGACACUGUUCAGAGAGGUGUACUGUUUUCCCUCCUUGUAAAUCUCACAUUUGAUGAUGGACCACAGGUUCUCAAUGGGGUUCAGAUCAGGUGAACAAGGAGGCCAUGUCAUUAGAUUUCCUUCUUUUAUACCCUUUC